rnacentral:rRNA from 1 species
GGCCUACGGGACGCAGCAGCCGCGGUAAUACGGAGGGUGCAAGCGUUACUCGGAAUCACUGGGCGUAAAGAGCGCGUAGGCGGGAUAGCAAGUCAGAUGUGAAAUCCUAUGGCUUAACCAUAGAACUGCAUUUGAAACUGUUAUUCUAGAGUAUGGGAGAGGUAGGUGGAAUUGUUGGUGUAGGGGUAAAAUCCGUAGAGAUCAAGAGGAAUACUCAUUGCGAAGGCGAACUGCUAGAACAUAACUGACGCUGAUGCGCGAAAGCGUGGGGAGCAAACAGGAUUAGAUACCCCGGUAGUCCCAGA